rnacentral:rRNA from 1 species
UACGGGGGGGGCAAGCGUUGUUCGGAAUUACUGGGCGUAAAGGGCUCGUAGGCGGCCAACUAAGUCAGACGUGAAAUCCCUCGGCUUAACCGGGGAACUGCGUCUGAUACUGGAUGGCUUGAGAUUGGGAGAGGGAUGCGGAAUUCCGAGGUGUAGCGGUGAAAUGCGUAGAUAUCUGGAGGAACACCGGUGGCGAAGGCGGCAUCCUGGACCAACACUGACGCUGAGGAGCGAAAGCCAGGGAGCAAAGCGGG